rnacentral:tRNA from 1 species
AAAAAAAAACCAAAAAGACAGGUGAUCUCGGGCGGGAUCGAACCGCCGACCUUCUGUGUGUUAGACAGAUGUGAUAACCACUACACCACGAGACCGCUGG